rnacentral:RNase_P_RNA from 1 species
AAGACAGAUGGUUGCGUAUGCCACAGGCAUAUGAGGAAAGUCCGGGCUCCACAGGGCAAGAAUGCAAGCUAACGGCUUGCGAAGGCGACUUUAGGGAAAGUGCAACAGAAAGAUACCGCCCGUUUAUACGGGUAAGGGUGAAAAGGCGAGGUAAGAGCUCACCCGUUCCCGUGGUGACACGGGAACGCUGUAAACCCCAUUCGGAGCAACGCCUGAUACAGAGGUUAAGUCGGCCCGACAUCUCUGAAUACGGCGGCUUGAGGCAGGCGGUGACGUUUGUCCCAGAUAGAUGACCAUCCGCGACAGAACCCGGCUUACGGCUU